AUUAAAGUUGUUGCGGUUAAAAAGCUCGUAGUUGGAUCUCGGUUUCACUCAGGUGGUACACCUUGCGGUGUUCACUAUCUGGGUGGACGUUUCUGUUGGUUCGCUCUUGGUGCUCUUCAUCGGGUGCCAUUUGGUGGCCAGCACGUUUACUUUGAAAAAAUUGGAGUGCUCAAAGCAGGCGUUACAGCCUGAACAUUAGUGCAUGGAAUAAUGGAAUAGGAUCUCGAUUCUAUUUCGUUGGCUUUCGGAGUCGAGGUAAUGAUUAAUAGGGACAGACGGGGGCAUUCGUACUGCGACGUUAGAGGUGAAAUUCUUGGAUCGUCGCAAGACGAACUACUGCGAAAGCAUUUGCCAAGAAUGUUUUCAUUAAUCAAGAACGAAAGUUAGAGGUUCGAAGGCGAUCAGAUACCGCCCUAGUUCUAACCAUAAACGAUGCCAACCGGCGAUCCGUCGUCGUUAAUUGAAUGACUCGACGGGCAGCCUCCGGGAAACCAGAGUGUUUGGGUUCCGGGGGAAGUAUGGUUGCAAAGCUGAAACUUAAAGGAAUUGACGGAAGGGCGCCACCAGGAGUGGAGCCUGCGGCUUAAUUUGACCCAACACGGGAAAUCUCACCAGGCCCGGACACCGGAAGGAUUGACAGAUUGAGAGCUCUUUCUUGAUUCGGUGGGUGGUGGUGCAUGGCCGUUCUUAGUUGGUGGAGCGAUUUGUCUGGUUAAUUCCGAUAACGAACGAGACUCUGGCCUACUAACUAGAAGGUCUAUCCUUUAUGGGUAGGCCUCUGCUUCUUAGAGGGACGGGCGGCGUUUAGCCGCACGAGAAUGAGCAAUAACAGGUCUGUGAUGCCCUUAGAUGUUCUGGGCUGCACGCGCGCUACACUGAAGGAAUCAGCAUGUUCUCCCCUCCCUGAAAUGGGCGGGUAACCCGUUGAAACUCCUUCGUGAUGGGGAUUGGAGAUUGUAAUUAUUCUCCAUGAACGAGGAAUUCCCAGUAGGCGCGAGUCAUCAGCUUGCGUCGAUUACGUCCCUGCCCUUUGUACACACCGCCCGUCGCUACUACCGAUCGAGUGAUUUAGUGAGGACUUCGGACUGGUCUUCAAGUUGGCUUCGGUCGGCUCGAAGUUCCGGAAAGAUGCCCAAACUUGAUCACUUAGAGGAAGUAAAAGUCGUAACAAGGUUUCCGUAGGUGAACCUGCGGAAG
rnacentral:rRNA from 1 species